AGUGAACGCUGGCGGUAGGCCUAACACAUGCAAGUCGAACGGCAGCACAGUAAGAGCUUGCUCUUACGGGUGGCGAGUGGCGGACGGGUGAGGAAUACAUCGGAAUCUACUUUUUCGUGGGGGAUAACGUAGGGAAACUUACGCUAAUACCGCAUACGACCUACGGGUGAAAGCAGGGGAUCUUCGGACCUUGCGCGAUUGAAUGAGCCGAUGUCGGAUUAGCUAGUUGGCGGGGUAAAGGCCCACCAAGGCGACGAUCCGUAGCUGGUCUGAGAGGAUGAUCAGCCACACUGGAACUGAGACACGGUCCAGACUCCUACGGGAGGCAGCAGUGGGGAAUAGUGGACAAUGGGCGCAAGCCUGAUCCAGCCAUACCGCGUGGGUGAAGAAGGCCUUCGGGUUGUAAAGCCCUUUUGUUGGGAAAGAAAAGCAGCAGGUUAAUACCCCGCUGUUCUGACGGUACCCAAAGAAUAAGCACCGGCUAACUACGUG
rnacentral:rRNA from 1 species